rnacentral:lncRNA from 1 species
AAACCCCACAUCCCCUGAGAAUUCUCUCGCCUGCCUUAGGCACUUAGGCUCCGGGAGAUUGCAAAUAACCUGCUUUCUUUCUGUUCCCGGGCUGCGUUCGGACUCCUGUCAGAUAGUAAAUCCUAAGUAAGGUGGCGUCGGACCCCUGUCAGAGAGUAAAUCUCAAGUAAGGUACCUGCCAUCGGCAGAUUUGAGCUUUCUUCUUGGACACCUAAUACCCACAGUCCUCCAGGCUCCGGUAGACUGCAAAUGACCUGCUUUCUUUCUGUUCCCGGGCUGCGUUUGGACCCCUGUCGGAUAGUAAAUCCCAAGUAAGGCUCCGGUAGACUGCAAAUGACCUGCUUUCUUUCUGUUCCCGGGCUGCGUUUGGACCCCUGUCGGACAGUAAAUCCCAAGUAAGGUACCUGCCCUCGGCAGAUUUGAGCUUUCUUCUUGGACACCUAAUACCCACAGUCCUCCAGGCUGUAGAUGAAGGGGUUCAGCAUGGAGGUGAUCACCGUGUACAUCACUGAGGCCACUGCAGCCUUUCUCGGGGAAGAUGACACAUCUGAACUGAGGUACCCUCCAAAGCCUGUUCCGUAAAAUCAGCAAACAACUGACAGGAUAACUUCAGGAAGUGGGUAUUAAUUCUCACGGUAUAAGUGAAGACAUUAAGCACCAGAGUUUAAGUAGCUUGAUCCACUGAAAGAGAUUCAACUGUGUGGAACCUAUGCCGUGGAGAAUUGCUUUCUGCCAUUGUUAUCGUCCAGCAGUUGCCGAAUAGCUCUGACCUGAGCAAAGCAGUGAAACGCGGUGCUGUUGAGUGGGUUGCCACUGCACCUUUUUCAACUACUCUAGUCUUGUGGAGAAAAUACCCCUUCUAAAUUUUUUCUUCAUUGAAUACUCUCCCUCAGCUCCAGAGUACCAUAUAGAGUUUUCUUGUAUUUUAGAGUUACUGUUUUAUCAAAGUUUACCAGUCUUUUGUAUUACAUUUCUCCUGUCUAAAUCGACUGUGUGGUUUCUACUCAUUAUGGAUAUAGAUUGAUACAAACUCAAUAAAUAUUUUUGAAUGAAUAA